rnacentral:RNase_P_RNA from 1 species
CGGAUAAUUACUGCUUAUUUAUUAAGUAGAGGAAAGUCCAUGCUCGCACUGACUGAGAUGUCAGUAGUGAUUGCGCUAGUAUAAUUAAUAAAGCUAGGGAUGUAGGAGUGCAUCACGGCGGAUAUUAUUUCUAAAGAUUUAUCCAUGAAAUAAUUCCAUAAAGCGCCACAGAGACGAGAUUAUUGGAAACAAUAAUGAUGAAACGUUGGUAAGCCCCACAAGCGAGAAACCUAAAAUUUGGUAAGGGAAGCGACUAAGGAGAAAUGAAUCUAAGGUUGCAUGCAUAUGCAUAGAUAAAUUAUUAUCCUCGACAAAACAUGGCUUAUAG